rnacentral:rRNA from 1 species
CAGUAGGGAGGAAGGUAGUGUAGUUAACACCUGCAUUAUUUGACGUUACCUACAGAAGAAGCACCGGCUAACUCCGUGCCAGCAGCCGCGGUAAUACGGAGGGUGCGAGCGUUAAUCGGAAUUACUGGGCGUAAAGCGCAUGCAGGCGGCCUGUUAAGUCAGAUGUGAAAGACCCGGGGCGUUAACCUCGGAAUUGCAUUUGAAACUGGCAGGCUAGAGUCUUGUAGAGGGGGGUAGGAAUUUCAGGUGUAGCGGUGAAAUGCGUAGAGAUCUGAAGGAAUACCAGUGGCGAAGGCGGCCCCCUGGACAAAGACUGACGCUCAGAUGCGAAAGCGUGGGGAGCAAACAGGAUUAGAUACCCUGGUAG